ACAAUUGACAUMWUAUGAARUUAGCGGCGGACGGGUGAGURACCGUGGGUCCCUGCCCAUAGACUGGGUAACUCCGGGAACCGGGGCUUAUCCGGAUAACAUUUUGGACCGCAUGGUUCGAAAUUGAAAGGCGGCUUCGGCUGUCACUUAUGGAUGGACCCGCGUCGCAUUAGCUAGUUGGUGAGGUAACGGCUCACCAAGGCAACGAUGCGUAGCCGACCUGAGAGGGUGAUCGGCCACACUGGGACUGAGACACGGCCCAGACUCCUACGGGAGGCAGCAGUAGGGAAUCUUCCGCAAUGGACGAAAGUCUGACGGAGCAACGCCGCGUGAGUGAUGAAGGCUUUCGGGUCGUAAAACUCUGUUGUUAGGGAAGAACAAGUGCUAGUUGAAUAAGCUGGCACCUUGACGGUACCUAACCAGAAAGCCACGGCUAACUACGUGCCAGCAGCCGCGGUAAUACGUAGGUGGCAAGCGUUAUCCGGAAUUAUGGGCGUAAAGCGCGCGCAGGUGGUUUCUUAAGUCUGAUGUGAAAGCCACGGCUCAACCGUGGAGGGUCAUUGGAACUGGAGACUGAGUGCAGAAGAGAAGUGAAUCCAUGUGUAGCGUGAAUGCGUAGAGAUAUGAGGACACCAGUGGCGAGGCGACUU
rnacentral:rRNA from 1 species